UACGGAGGAUGCAAGCGUUAUCCGGAAUGAUUGGGCGUAAAGCGUCCGCAGGUGGUUGCUCAAGUCUGCUGUCAAAGAGUCUGGCUCAACCAGAUAAAGGCAGUGGAAACUGAGAGACUAGAGUGCGGUAGGGGCAGAGGGAAUUCCUGGUGUAGCGGUGAAAUGCGUAGAGAUCAGGAAGAACACCGGUGGCGAAAGCGCUCUGCUGGACCGCAACUGACACUGAGGGACGAAAGCUAGGGGAGCGAAUGGG
rnacentral:rRNA from 1 species